rnacentral:lncRNA from 1 species
GGGAUUUUCAAUUCCGUUGGCAUGAAUAGAGAAAAAAAUUUAAUUAAUAAACCAUCCUGUUAUGUUUUGAUGAAAAAAAAAAGUGUUUAAUAUAUAAAUUACUACUAUCGUGAACUAACCUUAACCUAUUGACGUAAAAUUCUUUUUCAACUUUCCUUGCCAAUUACGCUCUUGCUUUUCCAAUUGGAGUCCAUUUGUUCAAUUCUGCACCUAGCGUUCUCGAUUUUUGGUUGCGCUAUGAUAGUUUAGAGACUGCGCUCCCUCGUUUUGUUUAGGCUCUAGUCUCUGCUAGGCCUUGUCAAUGUACUAAAAAAAAAAAAAAAAAAAAAAAAUUCUUUUUCGACUUCGAUAAUAUUACUGUUCAAGCUCAAACCCCUUUUAAUACUUUAAAUCUUAUCAAUCGAACCCACUAAGUUUCAGGGAAAAAAAAAUCUUCAAUUUGACUUCAUUUGAUUGAUUUUAACAUAUGUCUUCCAAAUUAAUUUAUAGCUUUUGUUUAACCUAGAUCUAUGCUAAUUUUCAAGUUAUCAAAUUGUGCCACUAACCGCCUUUUAUUAUAUAUUUCCUUCUACGACUUUGGAUUUGGAGAUUAGUGAUAUAUAUGUCCUAGCAAGCAUACAACCAUUUAAUAAUUUUAAUUGUUUUUUUCUUUUUUCGUCCUUUUUUAUUACGAUAAAAGAGAAUGUGAUCUUUAAAUCCUUAUAUUUAUUGUUGUUCAUUUUUAUAACUUAGCUCUCUCACUCUUUUCAAAUUAACAAAUUAAAUAUUCUGCGGCGGUGUUCAUUGCGCUUUUAUCAAAUUCCAUAGUCCUCGGCUUCAAUUUCAAAAUUAAUUGUUUGUUAAAUGAAUAAAAUCUGAAAUUUCAUUAAUUUUAAAUUUUUCAAAAAUUAUUUAUUUAUUUUUUGUAACUUAUGUUUGAUUUUCACAUACUUACAUUUGAAUAGAAAAUGUGAACUUUUGUAACUUUUUUUUUUAAAAUGAACUUUUGUAACUUUUAUUUAAAUAGAAAAGGAUCCGAAUAGAAAGUAAA